AAAACCAUCCAACGCUAGCCUCUCACACCUACGAACCGGGGCAUCGAUGCCCCUCCUCUUCACGUGUCUGAACCAUCUCAAUCGGGCUUCCCGCAUCUUGCACUCCACUGGAGUCACACCAACCUUCUCCCGGAUAGUCUCAUUCCGAACUCUAUCCCUUCUAGUCAGCCCACACAUCCAGCGCAACAUCCGCAUUUCUGCCACCUUCAUUUUUUGGAUGUGGGAGUUCUUAACUGGCCAACACUCCGCUCCAUACAACAUGGACGGACGGACUACCACCCUGUAGAAUUUGCCUUUCAGCUUGGACGGCACCUUCUUAUCACACAACACCCCCGACGCGAGCUUCCACUUCAUCCAUCCUGUCCCAAUACGGUGCGAGACAU
rnacentral:lncRNA from 1 species